ensembl:lncRNA
CGCGUCACCAGAAGGUUGCCGGUUCAGAUCCCGGCACUGCCCGAGCGCCACUCGGGGACUCUUCUCAAACGGUGCGAUUUUGGGACGUUCACUGAAGGACAUAUUCAGAGUCGAGUGAAGAUCGAAUCCAGACGCUCAGACGGAGACGGACCGAAGAGCCAGUCAGAAGCGACGUGAGACGCACACACACACGGGUAUAGUACAGAGGGUUUCUUCUGUGGAGCAGGAUCCAAAAGCCUACGAUUCGGCGAGUGAGGCGAAAACGACCUUUCUCAGCUCGCAGACGAACAAAAGCCGCAUGGGCUCUGAAUGCCAACAAGCCAGAUGCCCCACAUCACGUUUCCCCAAAGACGUCAUGUGCAGCGGAGAAAAGCACCACAUGCCCUGGACCCAUUGUGUGUUCUCCUCCCACAGGCCCCCCAGAGCAGUUUAACAUUACACACACACAUACACAACACACAUAGACACAUACACACGCGCGCGUGCGCACACACACACACACACACACUCUCUCUGUCUCACUGCGCUCUCAACGAGAAACAAAACAUACACACACUCUGAAGUGGUCUUGGUUGCCAUACGGUCAAAUAUAAUUGGCUACCACUUUUUUGUGACACAUAAAGUUAC